rnacentral:rRNA from 1 species
UAGGGAAUCUUCCGCAAUGGACGCAAGUCUGACGGAGCAACGCCGCGUGAGUGAAGAAGGAGUUCGGUUCGUAAAACUCUGUUGUUAGAGAAGAACAGCGCAUAGAGUAACUGUUAUGCGUGUGACGGUAUCUAACCAGAAAGCCACGGCUAACUACGUGCCAGCAGCCGCGGUAAUACGUAGGUGGCAAGCGUUGUCCGGAUUUAUUGGGCGUAAAGCGAGCGCAGGCGGUCAAUUAAGUCUGAUGUGAAAGCCCCCGGCUCAACCGGGGAGGGUCAUUGGAAACUGGUUGACUUGAGUGCAGAAGAGGAGAGUGGAAUUCCAUGUGUAGCGGUGAAAUGCGUAGAUAUAUGGAGGAACACCGGUGGCGAAAGCGUCUCUCUGGUCUGUAACUGACGCUGAGGCUCGAAAGCGUGGGGAGCGAACAGG